AUACUGACCUGGUAGGGACGAUACCAUGAUCACUAAGGUGGUUUCCUCAGGGCUAGACUUAUCGAUUGAGUUCUGGAUGUGCUGACCCUGCUAUUUCCCCAAAUGUGGGAAACUCAACUGCAUAAUUUGUGAUAAUGGAGGACUGCGUUUGCACUCUCCCUUG